CCUACGGGAGGCAGCAGUGGGGAAUUUUGGACAAUGGGCGCAAGCCUGAUCCAGCAAUGCCGCGUGAGUGAAGAAGGCCUUCGGGUUGUAAAGCUCUUUUGUCAGGGAAGAAACGGCUGAGGCUAAUAUCCUCGGCUAAUGACGGUACCUGAAGAAUAAGCACCGGCUAACUACGUGCCAGCAGCCGCGGUAAUACGUAGGGUGCAAGCGUUAAUCGGAAUUACUGGGCGUAAAGCGUGCGCAGGCGGUUUUGUAAGUCUGUCGUGAAAGCCCCGGGCUUAACCUGGGAAUUGCGAUGGAGACUGCAAGGCUUGAAUCUGGCAGAGGGGGGUAGAAUUCCACGUGUAGCAGUGAAAUGCGUAGAGAUGUGGAGGAACACCGAUGGCGAAGGCAGCCCCCUGGGUCAAGAUUGACGCUCAUGCACGAAAGCGUGGGGAGCAAACAGGAUUAGAUACCCUGGUAGUCCACGCCCUAAACGAUGUCUACUAGUUGUCGGGUCUUAAUUGACUUGGUAACGCAGCUAACGCGUGAAGUAGACCGCCUGGGGAGUACGGUCGCAAGAUUAAAACUCAAAUGAAUUGACGG
rnacentral:rRNA from 1 species